GCAGCAGUAGGGAAUCUUCCACAAUGGACGCAAGUCUGAUGGAGCAACGCCGCGUGAGUGAAGAAGGUUUUCGGAUCGUAAAGCUCUGUUGUUGGUGAAGAAGGAUAGAGGUAGUAACUGGCCUUUAUUUGACGGUAAUCAACCAGAAAGUCACGGCUAACUACGUGCCAGCAGCCGCGGUAAUACGUAGGUGGCAAGCGUUGUCCGGAUUUAUUGGGCGUAAAGCGAGCGCAGGCGGAAAAAUAAGUCUAAUGUGAAAGCCCUCGGCUUAACCGAGGAACUGCAUCGGAAACUGUUUUUCUUGAGUGCAGAAGAGGAGAGUGGAACUCCAUGUGUAGCGGUGGAAUGCGUAGAUAUAUGGAAGAACACCAGUGGCGAAGGCGGCUCUCUGGUCUGCAACUGACGCUGAGGCUCGAAAGCAUGGGUAGCGAACMGGAUUAGAUACCCUGGUAGUCCAUGCCGUAAACGAUGAGUGCUAAGUGUUGGGAGGUUUCCGCCUCUCAGUGCUGC
rnacentral:rRNA from 1 species